AUAUUGGGCAAUGGGCGCAAGCCUGACCCAGCCACGCCGCGUGAGUGAUGAAGGCCUUCGGGUCGUAAAGCUCUGUGGGGAGGGACGAAACCUGCUUGGCUAAUAUCCAAGUAGCUGACGGUACCUCCUUAGCAAGCACCGGCUAACUCCGUGCCAGCAGCCGCGGUAAUACGGAGGGUGCAAACGUUGCUCGGAAUCAUUGGGCGUAAAGCGCACGUAGGCGGUCCAGCAAGUGGGGAGUGAAAGCCCUCGGCUCAACCGAGGAAGUGCUUUCCAAACUACUGGACUCGAGUACCGGAGAGGGUCGCGGAAUUCCCGGUGUAGAGGUGAAAUUCGUAGAUAUCGGGAGGAACACCAGUGGCGAAGGCGGCGACCUGGACGGAUACUGACGCUGAGGCGCGAAAGCGUGGGGAGCAAAC
rnacentral:rRNA from 1 species